CCAGUGAUGACGAGAAGCACCGGCCCCGGGCGCCAAUGACGCCACGUCCGCCGUAGUGCUCCCCAUGGCGUGUCCGCAUGGCUAGAUCUCGCCGGCGUGAGCUUCAGGUUGCUGAGCCCCGCGGCCACUGGAGUUGUGCACGAGGGCGCCUUGCCCUAGGGGCUAGCGGGCGGCAUAGGAACCGCCAGAUCUGGCGCGGGCGGCGCCCUACACGACAUCCCCUUCAUCGCCGGCUGCCACAACAUCCUUUGCCGCGGGUGCGUUGGCGCCCGGAUCUGGCAGCGGGCAUGGCCAAGAAGAGCAGGUGCGGCCGGCCUGCUGGCGGCUGCAAUGACCUCGGCAGCUCGAGCGGCCUCCCUGAACAUCGACUUCUCCAAGCACAUGGAGAAUGUCAUCCCAUCCUCGGCGCAUCCAUUGUCGGUCGUCUCACCAAGUGACUCAUCGUCAAAGGUCGACCAGCUCGGCGCGUACAUGCUGUUCGUCGAAGGAUUAUUGCUUCUGAAUGAGCGUGGGGAAAAGGGAGAGCUGUAAACAAAGGUGUUGUCGGAGCUCGCGCAGAAUUCUCAGCUGCAACCCCCCUGCUUAUUGACAAGAAGAUUAAUUGGAUGCAUGUGGACAUGUCAAAAGGAGGACCGCUGCAUGUGUCAGGACAACGAUAUUAAUUUGUCUAUUUGUUCUGAUCAUACGAUGAACUCAUAUUUGUAUUUGUCUAUUUUUGUUGAAAUGGCCUUUCAAUUGGUAUUAUUGAUACAAUGGGCUUGAGUAUUGGAUGAUUGGUACUGUAUAUUUUUUAAAAAUAAGCUUUUUAUAUUGUUUUGCGUUGCAAUGAUAA